AGCAGCCGCCGCGGGAAUACGAAGGGGGCUAGCGUUGCUCGGAAUGACUGGGCGUAAAGGGCGCGUAGGCGGCUUACACAGUCAGAUGUGAAAUUCCUGGGCUCAACCUGGGGACUGCAUUUGAUACUGUCGAUCUUGAGUAUGGGAGAGGUGUGUGGAACUCCGAGUGUAGAGGUGAAAUUCGUAGAUAUUCGGAAGAACACCAGUGGCGAAGGCGACACACUGGCCCAUUACUGACGCUGAGGCUCGAAAGCGUGGGGAGCAAACAGGAUUAGAUACCCCCGUAGUCCCUGUCUCUUAUAC
rnacentral:rRNA from 1 species